CCCUUAGAUGUUCGGAGCCGCACGCGCGCUACACUGAUGCAUUCAACGAGUUUCUUCCUGGUCCGAGAGGAAUGGGUAACCUUUUGAAAGUGCAUCGUGAUAGGGAUAGACUAUUGCAAUUAUUGGUCUUCAACGAGGAAUUCCUAGUAGACGUAGUUCAUCAGACUGCAUCGAUUACGUCCCUGCCCUUUGUACACACCGCCCGUCGCUCCUACCGAUUGAAUGCUCAGGUGAGCCAUUCGGACUUUCAUCAUGCUGGUUUCCAGUUUUGAUGAAGGAAAGUCUUGCGAACCUUAUCAUUUAGAGGAAGGAGAAGUCGUAACA
rnacentral:rRNA from 1 species